rnacentral:rRNA from 1 species
CCGUGGUAAUUCUAGAGCUAAUACAUGCUGAAAACCCCGACUUCGGAAGGGGUGUAUUUAUUAGAUAAAAAGCCAAUGCCCUCCGGGGCUCCCUGGUGAUUCAUAAUAACUCAACGAAUCGCAUGGCCUUGCGCCGGCGAUGGUUCAUUCAAAUUUCUGCCCUAUCAACUUUCGAUGGUAAGAUAGUGGCCUACCAUGGUAUCAACGGGUAACGGGGAAUUAGGGUUCUAUUCCGGAGAGGGAGCCUGAGAAACGGCUACCACAUCCAAGGAAGGCAGCAGGCGCGCAAAUUACCCAAUCCCGACGCGGGGAGGUAGUGACAAUAAAUACUGAUACAGGGCUCUUACGGGUCUUGUAAUUGGAAUGAGUACAAUUUAAAUCCCUUAACGAGGAACAAUUGGAGGGCAAGUCUGGUGCCAGCAGCCGCGGUAAUUCCAGCUCCAAUAGCGUAUAUUAAAGUUGUUGCAGUUAAAAAGCUCGUAGUUGAACCUUGGGCCUGGCUGGCCGGUCCGCCUCACCGCGUGCACUGGUCCGGCCGGGCCUUUCCUUCCGGGGAUCCGCAUGCCCUUCGCUGGGCGUGUCGGGGAGCCGGGACUUUUACUUUGAAAAAAUUAGAGUGUUCAAAGCAGGCCUUUGCUCGAAUACAUUAGCAUGGAAUAAUGGAAUAGGACGUGCGGUUCUAUUUCGUUGGUUUCUAGGACCGCCGUAAUGAUUAAUAGGGAUAGUCGGGGGCGUCAGUAUUCAAUUGUCAGAGGUGAAAUUCUUGGAUUUAUUGAAGACUAACUACUGCGAAAGCAUUCGCCAAGGAUGUUUUCAUUAAUCAGUGAACGAAAGUUAGGGGAUCGAAGACGAUCAGAUACCGUCGUAGUCUUAACCAUAAACUAUGCCGACUA